UCAGUGGGGUUCAGUGGGAAUCAAUGGGGUUCAAUUGGAUCAAUGGGGCUCAAUGGGUUUCAGUGGGGUUCAAUGGGGCUCAAUGGGGUUCAAUGGGGAUCAAUGGGGUCAAUGGGUUCAAUGGGGGUCAAUGGGGUCAAUGGGGUUCAGUGGGGUUCAGUGGGAAUCAAUGGGGCUCAAUUGAAUCAAUGGGGCUCAAUGGGUUUCAAUGGGGUUCAAUGGGGAUCAAUGGGGUCAAUGGGUUCAAUGGGGCUCAAUGGGGCUCAAUGGGGCUCAAUGGGUUUCAAUGGGGCUCAAUGGGGCUCAAUGGGUUUCAAUGGGUUUCAAUGGGGCUCAAUGGGGCUCAAUGGGGCUCAAUGGGGCUCAAUGGGUUUCAAUGGGGCUCAAUGGGG